CGGGGAAGCGUGGGGGCGGGGAAGCGUGGGGGCGGGGAAGCGCAAGAGCCAGCCCUCCUUAAGAAGACGCUUGUACCUAGCAUCUCAGGUGCUUAAUUUUCUGUUGAAAAAUAACGUCUACUCAAGACAGUGCAAUCAGAAAAUGGAGGUUUGAAACAUGGAAUCGGUUAGCCUAAGUGGACAAACUUUUAUUAAGACUUUUGAGAGUCCUGAAAGAAUAAUGCAUGGAGUCAUCAUUUGAACCUUUGGAAUAGAAGGGCAUUGGCAUCUAAAGACCUUUGAGGGCUAAUUGUCAUCUAUGUGACUGUAUUUGGAAAAUACAAAACAACAACCACCAAAAA